rnacentral:rRNA from 1 species
UACGUAGGCAGCAAGCGUUGUUCGGAGUUACUGGGCGUAAAGGGUGCGUAGGCGGCUCUAUAAGUAUGGUGUGAAAUCUCCCGGCUUAACUGGGAGGGUGCGCUAUAGAUUGUGGGGCUAGAGUGUGGGAGAGGAAAGUGGAAUUCCUGGUGUAGCGGUGAAAUGCGUAGAUAUCGGGAGGAACACCAGUGGCGAAGGCGAUCACCUGGGGUUGUUCUGACGCUGAGGAGCGAAAGCUAGGGGAGCAAACGGG